ensembl:lncRNA
CUUUACUUCCCUUAUGUUCCGAGAAUAGAACUGAAUAUUUGAGAGAUGUAUGGGACAGCAAUGUUGGAAAAAAGUGAGAGUUCUCAAAAGGAACUCUGCUAAGCUGGAAGAGAGCUGAUCUUAGCUACAAGUGUUGAGUAGCUCAUGAAAGCAACUAACCCAAAAUAAGAGUUCAGUCUUCAACACUUACUGUGAUGGAGUAAGCAAGAGGAUAAACCAGAGAAAGUUUCCACUUCUGUUCAUUGUCUCCCAUAGAAUACACCUCUUGGAGGUUAAAGUGGACUGGAUCAGUGCAGACUUGUUUUCUCACUGUUGGCCUACACCCCCGCCUCCCUGCGCAACACAGACAAGCCCAAUCUCUCCCCUGACCUGAAAGGAGGGCUGAGCAGAAGUACUUGAAGGUCUCUGCUCAAGACCCCAGAUAAAGAUAUCUAAGAAUGAAAGUACCUGGAUUGGAAUGGAAAUAUUCAAACAGCAUGGCCAGCCAAUUGAGUCCUUGACCUCAACUCUGUUCAGAAACGAAUAUGCCCAAGUCUGGUGUGGAAGGACGGUUUUCCCAAUGUGGCUUGUCUCCACAAUGGCCUGUGGUCAGACCUGAAAAAUUACAUGGAUUUUUUACCAGGAAACAAGUUCCUCAUGUGCUUAGUGUUAAACAGUUGCUAUUUCUUCAAUUUCACUGAUAUGUUUCCUGCACUGCCUAAUUCAGUAUAUUUUUCAUUUCAGUGAUCAUAUUUUUUAUUUAGAUUGCAUUGUGUCUUAAAAUAUCUUUCAUUUCACUCAUUGUGCUCAUGUUUUCCUCUGCUUCCUUGAACGAACACAGCAUAUGUCCAACAGUUGUUUCAGUGCCUGCCUGCCUGUGCCAGAUCUACCAUCUCUGUUAUUUCAUAGUUGGUUUCUACUACUGAUUUUUUUCCUCCUAGUUAUGGAGUAUAUUUUCCGUUUUCUUCUUUCACCUACCUGGUAAUUUUCUUUUACUGGAUACCAGAUAUUGUGUUGUUGAUGUUGUGGAUUUUGUUGUUAUUGUUUUUGUUGAUUGCUGACUUUUGUUGUGUUCCUUAAAAUCAUUUUGCAUUUUGU